ACAUCACACGGUGGUCUCCAAUCAGAAUGGCAGCUCUUACCCAAGAUGAGCAGUCCCCAGCACAGAAGCCAGCACUGCCUUCCCAUCUGGUGCCAUGGAUUCCAGACUCCUGCUGUGGGCCAUGCUUUAUCUCCCAGGAGCAGGCCCAGUGGAGACUGGGGUCACUCAAACUCCAAGACAUCUGAUCAAAACAAGAGGACAUCCGGUGUCAUUGCAGUGCUCCCCUGUGUCUGGACAUGCCUGUGUAUUCUGGUACCAACAGGUUCCUGGCCAGGGCCUGCAGUUACUUUUUAUGUAUUAUGAAACUACAGAGAAUGUGAAAGGAAACGUCCCAGACCGGUUCUCAGCUCAGCAAUUCAGGGACUAUCGCUCUGAACUGAACGUGAGUGCCCUGGAGCUGGAGGACUCAGCUGUGUAUCUCUGUGCCAGCAGCUUGGCACAGCCCUGCAGAACCACCAGAGUUCUUUGCACAAACCACCUGCUGGAGCUGUUAUAGCACAAGCUGUGGGCUUCCACACAAACCUUGCAUC